UACAGAGGUCUCAAGCGUUGUUCGGAUUCAUUGGGCGUAAAGGGUGCGUAGGUGGCGCCGUAAGUCGGAUGUGAAAUUUCGGAGCUUAACUCCGAAACUGCAUUCGAUACUGCGGUGCUUGAGGACUGGAGAGGAGACUGGAAUUCAUGGUGUAGCAGUGAAAUGCGUAGAGAUCAUGAGGAAGACCAGUGGCGAAGGCGGGUCUCUGGACAGUUCCUGACGCUGAGGCACGAAGGUCAGGGGAGCAAACGGG
rnacentral:rRNA from 1 species